GAUGAAGAACGUAGCGAAAUGCGAUACGUAAUGUGAAUUGCAGAAUUCAGUGAAUCAUCGAAUCUUUGAACGCAUAUUGCGCUCUUUGGUAUUCCGAAGAGCAUGCUUGUUUGAGUAUCAGUAAACACCUCAAAGACUUCAAUUUGUUUUGAAUGGCUUUGGACUUGAGCAAUCCCAACACCAGUCUUUACGAUCGGUGGAGGGUUGCUUGAAAUGCAGGUGCAGCUGGACAUUCUCCUGAGCUAAAAGCAUAUUUAUUUAGUCCCGUCAAACGGAUUAUUACUUUUGCUGCAGCUAACAUAAAGGGAGUUUGACCGUAUUGGCUGACUGAUGCAGGAUUUCACAAGGGUCGGCAACGAUUCUUGUAAAGCUCGAUCUCAAAUCAAGUAAGACUACCCGCUGAACUUAAGCAUAUCAAUAAGCGGAGGA
rnacentral:misc_RNA from 1 species